UAUUGGCAUUUGUUCCAGUUACCGUAAGUUCCCGUGAGGAAUCCGAGUUUUCAAGGACUGGGUAGAAUCGACGGAGGAGAUAAGAAUGCUGAGGAAGACUCUAUAACCAGGCUUUCCGACAAACCUGGUCCUGAUGAUUCAUGGCCUACAUCACCUAGCCAAGGCUUAGAUUUCGGUACCAAGGUGAAGCAGAUCAUGGAGGAGGCAGCCACAUGGAAGUUCGUCCAUGAGGACGGCAGCCACAUCAUCUCCUUCUGUGGUGAGUCCGUGGACCCUGACCUGGAAAGGGACUUCUUUCUCUGUGGGCUGCCUUGGGGGAGUGGCGUCUUUGUGCCAGGAUUCUCACACUGUGUUUUGACUUUGUGACUCUGAAGUUAUUUUUGGAUUCCCGGGGGGCUCUGUGAGGGAAUUUGGAACCACGGAGAAGCCGAGAGAAGAAAGGAAGAAUGGCCUGUGUACCCAGCAAGAGCUAGUCACUGCUGACGCUGGAGGGACUGUCUUCCCCUCCUGUGGGCUCAGUUCACAGCUACCCAUCCCCCUAGUGACGUUGGUCUCGCAUCUGACGACAGACUCUGCACCCUUUCCUCACCCUGCCUGUGGCUGUUGCCAAAUGAAGGGGGAGGAUGGAUGGGCUUUAAAGACAUAGGGAAUCGGGAGCCAUUGAUCCAUGCUAAAUCAUCAUGUCCAGCUGGCUCAGCAGAGGAGGCAGGCCCAGGGCUCGGAGCUUGACUUGUAUCCUUGAACCAGCUGUGCUCACAAGAUUCCAGAAAUAAAUAACCGUGCUGCCAGGUUCUUACUGUCCUUCCACAAUGGCUACAGACACAUGUUUCACGUGUCCCCACAGUCAGGGUUCAGCUUCUAAUCCAUGUGUAU